GGUGAGAUGGCCGAGCGGUCUAAGGCGCCAGACUAAGGACCAGGAUAGUUUCUAUCCACCUCUCCACUUACGGGUGUUGGUAUCUGGUCCUCCGGGGCGUGGGUUCGAAUCCCACUCUCAUCA